rnacentral:rRNA from 1 species
UAGGGAAUCUUCGGCAAUGGACGAAAGUCUGACCGAGCAACGCCGCGUGAGUGAAGAAGGUUUUCGGAUCGUAAAACUCUGUUGUUAGAGAAGAACAAGGACGUUAGUAACUGAACGUCCCCUGACGGUAUCUAACCAGAAAGCCACGGCUAACUACGUGCCAGCAGCCGCGGUAAUACGUAGGUGGCAAGCGUUGUCCGGAUUUAUUGGGCGUAAAGCGAGCGCAGGCGGUUUCUUAAGUCUGAUGUGAAAGCCCCCGGCUCAACCGGGGAGGGUCAUUGGAAACUGCGAGACUUGAGUGCAGAAGAGGAGAGUGGAAUUCCAUGUGUAGCGGUGAAAUGCGUAGAUAUAUGGAGGAACACCAGUGGCGAAGGCGGCUCUCUGGUCUGUAACUGACGCUGAGGCUCGAAAGCGUGGGGAGCAAACAGG